UGCAAGUCGAGCGCGCCCUUCGGGGUGAGCGGCGGACGGGUGAGUAACGCGUGGGAAUAUGCCCUUCUCUAAGGAAUAGCCUCUGGAAACGGAGAGUAAUACCUUAUACGCCCUUUGGGGGAAAGAUUUAUCGGAGAAGGAUUAGCCCGCGUUAGAUUAGGUAGUUGGUGGGGUAAUGGCCUACCAAGCCUACGAUCUAUAGCUGGUUUGAGAGGAUGAUCAGCCACACUGGGACUGAGACACGGCCCAGACUCCUACGGGAGGCAGCAGUAGGGAAUCUUAGACAAUGGGGGCAACCCUGAUCUAGCCAUGCCGCGUGUGUGAUGAAGGCCCUAGGGUCGUAAAGCACUUUCGCCAGAGAUGAUAAUGACAGUAUCUGGUAAAGAAACCCCGGCUAACUCCGUGCCAGCAGCCGCGGUAAUACGGAGGGGGUUAGCGUUGUUCGGAAUUACUGGGCGUAAAGCGCACGUAGGCGGAUUAGUAAGUUAGAGGUGAAAUCCCAGGGCUCAACCCUGGAACUGCCUUUAAUACUGCUAGUCUUGAGUUCGAGAGAGGUAAGUGGAAUUCCGAGUGUAGAGGUGAAAUUCGUAGAUAUUCGGAGGAACACCAGUGGCGAAGGCGGCUUACUGGCUCGAUACUGACGCUGAGGUGCGAAAGUGUG
rnacentral:rRNA from 1 species